rnacentral:rRNA from 1 species
UACGUAGGGCGCGAGCGUUGUCCGGAAUUAUUGGGCGUAAGGAGCUCGUAGGCGGCUUGUCGCGUCGGUUGUGAAAGCCCGGGGCUUAACUCCGGGUCUGCAGUCGAUACGGGCAGGCUAGAGUUCGGUAGGGGAGAUCGGAAUUCCUGGUGUAGCGGUGAAAUGCGCAGAUAUCAGGAGGAACACCGGUGGCGAAGGCGGAUCUCUGGGCCGAUACUGACGCUGAGGCACGAAAGCGUGGGGAGCAAACAGG